CUCAGCGACCUCAGGUGACCCUCAGAAUGGACCCCGGAGAGCACGGAGGCGGGGAGAGGGCGGGACCUGUGAGAAGAGAAAUUCCUCUUCUGUUUCCUGCUGCCCGUCAGACCUGACCUGAGCCAGACAAAGCCAGCUUCCCUGUCAGAGCUGUUUCCUGUCCUCUGCCUCUCAGUCAGGGGCUCAACACACUCAGUGUCGCCGUGCUUUGCUCCUGGGGUCCCCUUACCCUCACCCUCCUUCCGCAUUUGCUUGGUGACCAAGUCCUGUGUCCCUGCCUCCCACAUGCCUGAUCAGAAUAAAUUCUCCUCUUCCUGUCCCCACUGCUA